UCUCUUCUCUCGCCAAAAAAACCUAAGCCCAGAAAUGAAACGCAGGUCACACAAUUUUGUCCCUUAUCGCAUCCCUCACAUAAAGCAACUUCCUUCGUUGAUCUCCGAUGGCGACGGUUAUGGCGGACAAGAAAUCGAAAACGAAGAUCGUCUGUACCAUCGGUCCCGCAUCAGAGUUCCUUCCCAUGAUCGAGAAGCUUCUCCGAACAUGCAUGAACGUCAUUCGUUUCAACUUCUCUCAUGGCUCUUACGAUUACCAUCAGGAAACCCUAGAUAAUCUCAGAACCGCCAUGGAUAAUACCGGUAUCCUCUGCGCCGUCAUGCCCGUGUUGUCCAAAAGCUCUGGGCUUUUGUUCGAGAAGCGGUUACAGGGUUCCAUCAACUUCUCCUCGAAAUGCACGGGAUCGAGACACACGAUGGGGAUUAGGGUUCCAAUGAGUAAGUACAUGAUGAGUAAGUAAUGCAUCAUUUGUUACCUUCAAUUAUGUGCUUAUAAACUAAGUAAAACUUUGCAGUUGAAUGAAGGGGAUGGAGCAUUCUAUGGACCAAAUAUAGAUAUCAGUGUAUCUGAUGCGCUGAGUAGAAAAUUCCAGUGUGCAAAUCUACAUGUUUACCCUGUUUGGCUUUACUUGCUUGCACUCCCAUGGUUCAGUUGUUAAUUAUUUUUACUGAUAAUUGAUUAAACUGGCUCCUUGCAGCUUGACUUCCAGCUUCCUGAUUGUUUUAAGUUGGAAUUCUCAGCUGAGGAUGAAGCCAAAAUUGAGAGGCCUGUUAUGAUACACAUAGCCAUUCUAGGAUCAUUUUAAGUUGGAAUUCUCUGAAGAGUUACCUGGUCGUACAGACAAUGAGAUAAAAAACUAUUGGAACACUUGGAUCAAGAGGCGUACCCGAGCUGGCUUGCCGUUUUAUCCUCCUGGUGUAUAUCAAGCGGCUCUUAAUAACCAAAGCACCGGUAGAAUUAACGCUGGCAAUAAAGUGCAUUCUGAUUUCUUGCAUAAAAGGAGUUUUAAUGAACCCUUUUUUAACUCACAAAGCAUAGAAGUCUUCAUGCAGCGUACACAUGUUUACUCGACUCAUGGCUGAUAAUAGUUUAAGAAAACAGUCUUGUCAAAAUAAGUUAAUUUAAGUAGUCACUAAAUUUUAUUUUUUAUGAAGGUUAGCAUAUUCCCAACAAACUACACAAUGGAACAGGAACAUUGUGAAAUCAAUAUUAUGAAAAUCUAUGCAUAUGGUUUUCCUAUUAAUUCCUUAAAAUUCAUGUGCAGGAAACAUUGUGAAAUCAGAGUAUGUUGAUCAUGUGUGGUCCCCUGACAGUUCUUAUAUCAAGUCUCUGUUGAACAAUAGUCGGCCAGAUUUUGUGCUUGAUUCAGGUUGGUAUGAGUCGUGUUCUGGGCAUGGAAAUAACCAAGCCGUUGCCACUGAUGCUACAUUGAUGUUUCAGGAAGAUCAAUUAGCCACCGACUAUAGACAUAUGACUGCUGCUGGAACUUCUAACCCAAGUCAGGUAUGGGAGUUAAGUUCUUUUGGAUGGAACAACAUGCCUGCUGUCUGUCAAGUAUCUGAUCUUGGUUAAGAAAACAUCCAAGAUGUGUGAUUUGAAACUGCUGUACUAAUUGCAUUCAUGUUGGUUUUCUUAACAUGGUCGUCAGGUGUUAAUAUCUUUACGUGUGUUGAUUUGAACCGAGAAAUAUUUUACGUGUGAUUUUCUAGUACUGAACAAUUGAUAAUCGAGAGACACAUAGAGUUUUCACUGGAGAAGCAUGGGGUUAUCUCGGAAGCAGAAGAUUUUUAAUAGAACUUGACGAGCACUCAGAUGCUGUUCAUGGCCUUAAUCGCUCGUUAAUUGAAAAGGGUCUCAUUCAAGGUGCUAAAAACUACUUUGCUCAUGCAGAAGGGGAUUCUUCUGCCACAAAUCAGAUAAUGGCUGCCCUGAAACAUGCCCAAGAGUCGCUACCGUCUGAAGAUACAAAUAUUGCAUCUGCAAGUGUCUCAAAUAUUACAUAAUUUUUUUUUGUAGCCUUAGGGUGACAUUCAUUAUUCAUAACUUAGGCUUUUUUUAAAAAAAUUGAAUCCUCUUGUAUAGAAUCCAUGUUGACAUAACUUAGGUUCUGAGAUUUUGUAUGAGUUAUUGUUCUGAGUAUUCUCUUAGUGUAUGGAUUGAAGAUGUAUAUUGAUGUUGUUGUUGUUUCAAA